UACGUAGGGUGCAAGCGUUAAUCGGAAUUACUGGGCGUAAAGCGUGCGCAGGCGGUUUUGUAAGUCUGUCGUGAAAGCCCCGGGCUCAACCUGGGAAUUGCGAUGGAGACUGCAAGGCUAGAAUCUGGCAGAGGGGGGUAGAAUUCCACGUGUAGCAGUGAAAUGCGUAGAGAUGUGGAGGAACACCGAUGGCGAAGGCAGCCCCCUGGGUCAAGAUUGACGCUCAUGACGACGAAAGGCGUGGGGAGC
rnacentral:rRNA from 1 species